rnacentral:lncRNA from 1 species
GUCUACCUCUGUUAGGGACUGUGUGGGGUGUAGCAGAAAGGAUGCAGACUACUGGCUCUCAGAGGAUUGCUACCUGGUGAGAGUGGACACACAAGAGAGCCUGAGAGCUUUAACUGAGAGUUGAAGUUAUUCUGGAGGAGGAAGAAGGUGGUGUGACCAACCCAUGAGGGUUUGCAUCGGGGGACAAAUGUUGAGUGCAGCAUUUGAAUGGCACGCCGUCUUCUCCAGACAGGCAAGAAGAAAGAGGGCUUUGUAGCUAGAGGAAGAGCAUGCGCAAUGGCAAGGGAGACGCAAAGGCUCAGUGUUUGCCCAGAGUGAGCUGCUUUUGGAGUGGUCAUGAAUUAAAAUGGAUAUCCAACUGUUCCAUGAGGCAACGAAUGGGGAUUUUACAUAUUAAAUCAGCAUUGUCUGCUGGAGCUCUCUGCUACCUGGGAAGGCUCUGCAUUUGGGCUGUCAAAGCCACAAGCUCAGACAAUGAAGAUGGCAAACUGAAGGUGAACACUUCUUUCAAGUCAGUCACAAGAGGCUUAUGUGUUGGACUGUGUCUAUGGAUAUCCUAUUGCAGAACAUGGCGUUAGAUUAGUGAGAGCAGGUACAGAUGUUAAAAGAAAUGGGGAGCCUAAAUCAGACUUUUCUUGGAUAAAACAGGGGUGAAGGGAAGCCCCAAGGGACUUUAUAGAGAAGGAAGUUUGAAGAGAAAAGAACAUGGCAAGGUGGACUGGCCAGUUCCUUAACAGAAUUGAUGAAACAAGUGAAUUGCUUUGCGUGCACAGAAGUCCAGGUGGGGUUGUAUGCACAGAUGGGUAACACAUGUGCCCCUUCACUGACAACAGGCUCUGUUGUGAGCACCCUGUCCUGAGCUGGACAUGAACCUACUACUCCUACCCUACGAAAUAUUGAAGCUCUGGGAAACAGCCCUGCAGGGUGUCCCUUAGUUACCCUUGGGAUGCGUGGCUGAAUGGGAGUUAUAGCUUACAUGCUAGCCCAUGAAAACAUCAAUAUUCACAACUCAAAACUGCGAAUAAGAUAGUUGGUUCGGGAGCCAUUUUAAAAGACAAUGGCCUGAGAAGACAAAUUUAGGUUACCCUAAUUCUAUGUUCCAAUGUGGAAGCAGCUUCACAGAAUUUUUAGAAUUUUAUAGAACCAAGCAAGUCAUAGGCCGAGGCAAGUUUAAAAUGCCUUGUUGGGUACACCAGAAAAGUGAGUGCAGAGAAAUGGGGGCUAUUCUAUAGGUCGAAUGUGUUAUCUGAUGACAUUCUUAGCUCUUUUGGCAGAAGCUACUGGUCCUACUAAGUAAAUAGCUUCUUAGAGGUUUUUAUUUAUUGUCACAAGGUGCUAGUCCAGAUACAGAAUAAACCAAGGAGUAGCUAUUCCAGAAGGCUAAAAAAUAAAGUAAUUAGCCUCUGAAUCUGUAAAAUCUCAGUCUUUCCACCAUUCUGAAAUUCCAAUUAGUCCAUCAGUCUCUGAAGACAUAGAAGCCCCUUCCAGGAGUUUUAUGUUCACAGCCAGACAGUUUCUUUUAAGGACUUUUCAUUCAUAAAUACACAUUCAUUUUGCCCCACAUUAAAAAAAAUACUGGUUGGGGGUGGUUUGGCAAAGCAUAAAUAGCAUAAAUAUUGAUCCAUCUUCUCAGGAUUUUUUUUUAUUAUUAUUCUGGAUUUUGUAGAAAUUAUUUAGAAGGGGAAUUAAAAAUGUCCAAAUCCAUAAGACAAAUAAGAAGGAAGAAAAUGAGUUUUCAUUAACAAAUUGACCUAGAUUGUUUCAGGGGCAAAGUCACCCCAAACAGCUAAAAACAAACAUGCACAUCACUGACCUACACCAAAGAGAAAAGAGAGGUAUGAAAACUAGCCUCUUUGUUGGUUUCACACGAGGGUAGCAGGUGGGGCUGAGUACAACUUCCAUGUAAACGAAAAGCUAAAACAGCAAUUUUCAGUUGUAUUCAUUUAUUUCAAAGCUUGACAAAAGCAAAACUAUCUAUUAUAUCAGUAAUGGUGAAUGACAGCAAAAAAGAAAGUCUCUAAACUAGAAUUCUAGCCCCCGACCCAAAAGUAUCUUUUGUGCUCUCUGUGGUUCAUAAAUUAUAUUGUUAUUGUAAGAUGAGUCUCAGUUAGAAACUUAGAAGUGUGUAAUCAGAUAUGGUUGUCAAAGGAAAGUUUAUAGUUUUUUUUAUAUUUUAAUUUUGGGGGUCUGCCCAAGCACCUUGAAAAAAAUAAAACCUGUAUUUGGUCUGAGAAACACCUUUAGAUACAUGCUGGAUAAUUUCUGUUGAAGCCAUUUUAUUAAGAUUCAUCAAAGAUAAGUCCAUUAGAAGAAGCAAGCAAAACUGGAAGAGCCUCAAAAAAUUGUGGUCUUUGGUUGGAAAUAAAAUUAAUUGAGUUUAUAGUA